GAUGAAGAAUGUAGCGAAAUGCGAUAAGUAGUGUGAAUUGCAGAAUUCAGUGAAUCAUCGAAUCUUUGAACGCACAUUGCGCCCCUUGGUAUCCCGAGGGGCAUGCCUGUUCGAGCGUCAUUUCACCACUCAAGCCUGGCUUGGUGUUGGGCGACGUCCCCUUUGGGGACGCGCCUCGAAACGCUCGGCGGCGUGGCACCGGCUUUAAGCGUAGCAGAAUCUUUCGCUUUGGAAGUCGGGGCCCCGUCUGCCGGAAGACCUACUCGCAAGGUUGACCUCGGAUCAGGCAGGGAUACCCGCUGAACUUAAGCAUAUCAAUAAGCGGAGGA
rnacentral:misc_RNA from 1 species